rnacentral:rRNA from 1 species
AUUGAACGCUGGCGGCGUGCUUAACACAUGCAAGUCGAUCGGCAACGCGGGGGCAACCCUGGCGACGAGAGGCGGACGGGUGAGGAACGCUUGGGAAUCUGCCUAUCAGCGGGGGACAACCCGGGGAAACUCGGGCUAAUACCGCAUACGCUUUACGGAGGAAAGCCGGGGACGGCAAGGCCUGGCCCUGAUAGAUGAGCCCAAGUCGGAUUAGCUAGUUGGCGGGGUAACGGCCCACCAAGGCGACGAUCCGUAGCUGGUCUGAGAGGACGAUCAGCCACACUGGGACUGAGACACGGCCCAGACUCCUACGGGAGGCAGCAGUGGGGAAUAUUGGACAAUGGGGGAAACCCUGAUCCAGCGACGCCGCGUGGGUGAAGAAGGCCUGCGGGUUGUAAAGCCCUUUCGGUAGGGACGAAAGCUCUCGACCUAACACGUCGGGAGGUUGACUUAACCUACAAAAGAAGCACCGGCUAACUCUGUGCCAGCCGCCGCCGUAAAAC